rnacentral:rRNA from 1 species
CACGGAGUUAGCCGGUGCUUAUUCAUCGGGUACCGUCAACGGCGUUAGAAAACACCGGUUUCUUCCCCAAUAAAAGAAGUUUACAACCCAGAGGGCCUUCAUCCUCCACGCGGCAUGGCUGGUUCAGACUUGCGUCCAUUGACCAAUAUUCCUUACUGCUGCCUCCCGUAGGAGUCGGGCCCGUGUCUCAGUGCCCGUGUGACUGGUCGUGCUCUCACACCAGUUACUGAUCGUCGGCUUGGUGGGCCAUUACCCCGCCAACUACCUAAUCAGCCGCACGCCCAUCUUUAAGUGCCGGAGCUUUAACAGCUGUGUGAUGCCACACCACUGUCUUAUGGGGUAUUAAUCCAAGUUUCCCUGGGCUAUUCCCCGCUUAAAGGAAGGUUGCGUACGUGUUCCGCACCCGUUUGCCGGUCGCCACCCAGUAUUGCUACCUGUGCUGCCCCACGACUUGCAUGUAUUAAGCCUGCCGCUAGCGUUCAUCCUGAGCCAGGAUCAAACUCU